CAGCAUCAGCUUUGCACGUGACCACAGCAGGAGCUUGUUCACAAACCUCGCACAUCCAGACGCGGUCAUGGCGAGAAGCGAGUUUGUUGGCGCAGUGAAUUUUGGCGUCGCAGGAGAGACAGAGAAAAGCAGAGUCAGGUCGGCAAUAGACGGCGGCAGGGUCAGCCUUGCAGAAACCGCAGGGUCUGCCGCGGAAACCAUUAACAACAGUGGCACCGUCAAUUCCCAUGGGCGGGUGUUAAUAGAGAAGCAUGCCCUGUCUCCCGCGAAGAAAGCUUAGAAGUGUUUGGAAGAGAUAUGUUUGAGGAGGGGAGUGGUGGGGGACUUUGUUUUAUUUUGUUUUGCAAAUCUAACAUCUAUGAACUAUCUUGACUAGUUGGGAGAAAGGAAAUCUGGAAGCAGACGAGUAGUACAACGCCACGUGGAAAGCUCUAAGCCACAUUAAAAAAAAAAAAUUGAUUUGGUUAGAAAGAUAUAUAUAAUAAAAAUGAUGAGAAGGAUUUUGUAGUUUGUCGUGGUGUGUAUGCCGACGUAGGUCCCAUCUGUGAAAGUGGGAUAGAGUUUUGGAGGAUUUUAUGAUUGAGAGUAGGGGGAGCGACAACAUGAAGUUGGAGUUGGGAAUGAUUCAAUUAUAAAUACAUCUCCCUCCAAUAAUACUCACUUAACAGUUGCUCUCUUAUAAACCUACCUUAUUAGGGGUUUUAUAAGGGGUGAGCGUCCGGCUGAUCCACCUUAAUUUUGAACAAAAACCGAUGCCGGUCAUUGUGGGUUCCGUUGGUCUAGUGAUAAGAGAGAGCGCGGAUCGGGCCAUCACGGGGCGGGGCAUGCCAUUUGUUCGGACUUGUGAGUAGAGGGAGAAGAAAAAAGAAAAGAGAAGAAAAAAAGGAAAAGAUAGAGAAGAAUUGAAAAAAAUUGAAAAAAAAAAAAGAGAAAAGGGGGAAGGAAGAUCACGAACAAAAACGAAGAAAGGGUAAGGGAGAGGAAUUCCGUGAGAGAGAGGAAGAAAAUAAUGAUACAUCAUUGACUUUACUAUCUUUUUCCACAUACCCACACACAAUUUUUCUUUAGAAAAACAAACUCACUCUUAAAAACUACUACUAAACUUUAUAUAUUUUUUUUUCAUAAAAAACGCCUUUCAAUUUUCAAAAUAUUCUUUAUUAUUACUUUUUUCUUUGUAUAUGAAACUCGUUACAGGUUUAUUUAAAAAAUACUCUUAAGUAUUCAAAAUUUUGAAAAAUGUUCAAAUGAUGCAACCAUUCAUGAAGAAUCAUAACCAUUUAUUUCAACACAAUUUGCUUUUCUCACUCGAACCUUCUUUUGACCGAACUUAAGCUUAGCACUUCUUUGUAACUUUUCUUUUGAGCUUACAAAGCUUCAUUAUACUAAUCCUAAACCAGAUUAAUCAUUCCUUAAACUCAUCCUCGCUUACUAGCUUUUUCUUUGUGACUUACGCGUGUAGGUUUAAUGUUUUAUGUUAUCAUGAUUAACUUUAACUCAACCCGUAAUUUGCUGCCUAAUCCAGAUUAAUAAAUUCUCCUAGAUUUUCUAACUUCCUUUCCUCAUCCGACCCUUCCUCACCUUGCUCAAAACUAAGCAUUUCUUCCUUGUGUUGCCUAGCCAGAAUGCACACCUACUCCUUCAAAAUGCAGUGUUUCUUCAAAAAGCCUAAUAACUACACUUGGUACUUACAACCUCCUUCCCAACCCUUUUACAUCAGAACUCAUGUUUCACACUGCACCUCCCUUGAAGCCAAACUAUGAUGACUCCAUCACAGUAGCAAUAAAAUCCAAAUGGCAAAAGAGAGUGAAGUUGAGAAACGAAAACAUUUUGUUUACUCACUUUGAAGAAAUUAUUUUGUAACUUCUUUUAUUGUAUGACUAAAUGUGUUGUGUGAUUACAAAAAUUUAAAUUAUGAGAUACAACUUUGGUUUGAAUACAUGGAUACAACUUUCUUAUUUCUUAUUGAUUUUGGUUCAAAAUUUUAGUUUAUAACUAUAAAAAAUAAAUAAAAGUAAUAAGGGAAGGUAUUUUAUUUAUAUAUAUAAAUUAUACCACAACUUCCGACGGUCUUUGACAACGUCGAGCGAUCCAAGAACUUCUACGAACUCUUGAUGUCGUAGCUAGGCGUCGGGAGUUAUCCUUAACUUCUAAUGGUUGGUAUUUGAAUGUUGGGAGAUGGUCUCUUGACAGGGAUAUCCCGACCAAAUUUCUUACACGUUUUUUAAUAGUUUCUAACGAUUUCAUGCCUUAGAAAAUUUAUUUUUUUCCUAUAGUGUUUCUAUUUAUGCUUCCAAGUGUACAUUUAGAUUGACAAUUUUGGUGGUCAACUAAACUAAACCAAAAAAUUUUAAAUUUGUAUAUGUGAAAACAAACCAAACUAAACUGGAUAAUUUAUUAGUUAAAACAAAAAUGGACCAAUUUAUUGGAAUUUAUUUUCAUAUUAAAUGGGGUUUUAAUAUUUUUAAAAGUUAAAAAGACAUUGGAUUUGGUUGAGUCUUAAAAUGGGAUGUAAGAAAAAGGAGGGGAAAAAAAGGGGCAAGGGAAAAUUGUAUUGAGAAAGAAGGGGUGGGUGGGUCGUUCCACGAACACGUUGGUUGGCUCUUCGGUACUUUGGAAAGUCAUACAAAAGUGGUCAGUGUCCUUCAUCUGUUGCGGUUCCAAGUUCGAACACACCCCUCACUCCCACCUCCUUUACUUUAUACAUCUUUCUGUCUCUAAUUUUUAUCACCUAUGCCUCUCAUUUCUACAAUUAUCCUAACUUGUAAGACUUCAAUUUUAAUAUUUCAACAAGUUUUAUGGGUAUAAUCCAAGUCCUUUUUCCAAUUUAUUUUUUAAAUAAAUAUUUAUAUCAACAACAGGAGGAUUUUUCAUUUUCUUUUUUUUUUCUCUCUAUUAUUAGUAAACGUCUACUUCUUCAUUUUAUCUCGAUGUAAUAAAGAUUUUAAACAUUGAUGUUAAUGGAAAUAUUCAUAUUCUAAUUUUUUAAAUAUCAAUUAAAAUUUCAAAAACUUUGUAGAAAUGGAGGAAAGUCGUUACAGUCAGUUUAUUAAAAAAUUGUUACUAUAAUUGACUAUUUAAUCUUCAUUUCUACCGAGUAUAUAAGAUAACAUUUAAAUGCAUUUAGUAUAAUAUUUGUGGAAAUGUCAAUACAAGAGCAUAGAUGUAAAAAGAUCAUUACAAAAUUAAACUAACGUAUGAAAUACUUGCAUGUACAAUAAUUAGAGAAGUUGUUUAUUGUAAAAUAAACUCAACUAACGUAUCAUAUAUAUAUAGUAAGAUAAUAAAAAAAACAUAACAUAUAAAACAUAACACAACAUAAUGAAACACAAGAAAACAAAAAGAAAUAUAAUUUAUAAGUAGAGAAAAUGAGAGAAAAUGAGCAAAGAAUAUUAAAGAAGUCACGUUAAUUCAAUUUUGAGAUGAUGUAAUGUGCAAAUUGAAUGGAAAUUGUUUGAAGAAAUAAUGUAAUUUCUUCGUAAUAAAGAUUUGUAUAUUAAAAAUUAAAAAAGAAAAAACUUCUCUUAGCUUGGAUCAUGUUUAAGCUAGCGUAGGUUUGAAAAAAUCGAGAUCAAAAUCAAAAUUCUUCCUCUAAUAAAAUUUAGAAAUUCAAAAUUUUAAAUGUAGAUGCGAUACAACUGUUGGAAUGAAUUAAGUUUGAAAGAAAAUAGAAAAACCGUACCAAGAUUGAAAUGGGCUGACAUCUUCGUAUCUAAUAAAAGUAACUAUAUAUUUAAUGUUUUAAUUACAUUUUCAAUGUAUUAAUACAAAUCUACGGCACGAUGUUGCCAACACCAAGUUUCAACACAAUUUCUUUCUUUUUUCUUUUCUAAUAAUUAUACAUUUCUUUCAUUUCAUUUGAGUGAUAAUAGUUUUUUCCAAGGUCUUUUUUCCAAAAAUAGAAAGAAAAAAAAAACUAUUUAAUUUUGAUGCUCUCUUUAAGUUUCUUUUUUUAAAAAAAUCUUCUCUCCUUUAUUUUUAUUAACCAAUUGAAAUAGAAAGUUUAAAAUAAAAGGAAGAGAAAUUUCAAACUCAUUCGAUUGAUUUUUCUUGGGCAGACUAUGAAAAUAUUUCAAGAAUGAUAACUACUUUAACGACUCCCUUCCAUUUUUUUCAUCUCAAAAUUUCUAAUUUAAACUGAUCGCGUGGAAUGAGAAAUGGCACCACUAAAAUGGGCCAUGUUGCAAGUCGAGACUUUUUUUUUUUGUAUGUACAAGCAAGUUAAAUCGACAAUAAAUCAAAAAAUGUUCGAUUUAGUAAAUAUUCAAACUGACUCUGACCAUGAAGGAGUGUAAACCAACCAUUUUUCGAUUGAUUAGUCUAUUGGUCGGUGUUUAAGCCUUUAGAUUUUUUAAAAUGUUAUCUCGGUCUAGAUUUUUCUUAACUCAACACCAAUCAAAUCUCUCCAAUAACUUCGACUGACUACAUUCGUAGUGAUUUUAUUUUUUUCUCACCCUUAGAUUCAAUUAAGUGUUAAAAUAGGUAUUGCAUUGGUUUAAUUGAGGUUGUAAUUAAACCACUUGUUUUGAUUGGUUUUAUAAGUGUUUAUUAAUAUUUUGUGUAUAUAUUUAUAAACAAUUAAAGGAGCUUGCAUUUUUGUUAGAAGAAUUUUUAGGAUGCAUAGUUCUUAUUAUAGUUGAAGCUUAUUUAAUGUUAGUGGGUUACAAUAGUAUGAAUUUAGGGUGUUGAAGUAUAUACUAUUUUUAAUUUGGAUUAUAGUAUUUUUAUUGUUUUGAUAAAAAAAACAAUAAUCACUGUAACUAAAAAAAGAUAAAUACGAUCGGUAGCAUAUAGUUAACGUUGUAACAAAAAGAUAUAUUUGAAAUAAUAAUAUCGUCAACGGUAAUUCAAACGGUUAGAAACACCAAAUAUUUUAAUAAGAUCCAGACAAUUAUCAUACUUUAUAACAAAUAUUUCACUGGUAUUUUAAAAAUGGGUAAUAUUCCACGACAACAUUUUAGCCUUAUGGUAUUCUCCCUCGUCUUUUAAUUUCACAAUAUUUAAAAUAAAAAUAUAUUGGUUUCAAAUCUACCAAUAAUUAUUUAAAGAUUUUAUAUUUUUAAGUAUCAAUAAUUACAUCAUCUCUUAUCAAUUUUGUUUUUUUUAAAAGUUAUGUCUUGUAGAUAAUAUUUAUAUCUUCAAAUUUCUUUUUUAAUUAUCUAUUUUGUUUCAAUUGUUUUAAAAUUCAAGUCAAAUUUUUAAGAUGUGGUUUUUAUUUUUGAAGUUUGGUUAAAAAUUGUUCAAAUUUUCCAAAACAAUCUUCAAUGGUUCCACUAUUGAUCAAUGAUUGAGAACUGAGUGGAAUAUACACUUAAGCAUUAAUUAAAAACUUGAGUGGUGUAGUAGUGUAAUAAUGCAAUUAUUAGCAGUUCAACAGUCAUUUUACAAGCGUUAAAGGAACUCAUGAACCCAAGCUUUAUUUAUACUUUACUAACCUUAAAAAUACAAAUUCGUUAGUAAAAAAAUAUCACUUUUACUAUUUUCUAAUGUCAAGUUAUUCACAAACUCAAAAUUCACUUGAACAUCAAAUCAUGCAUGGUUUGUCAUUACACAUGUGCUCAAUUUUCUUUGUCUUAUAUUCAUUUAGACCAUGUCCUUUUAAAAUAGGAAUUUACAGUUUCUUUUAGCAUUAUAAUCAGGAUUAUAUUAAUUUUGAAGUAAUAACAAUUUUUAUCUCAAUUAAAUUCCAAACCAUUUUGAAAACAUCAAUACUAACACAAUUAAACACCAAAAAUUGAAUAAAAUGUUAACUGCAUUUGAGGAUUUAAUUUGGGCUUGAAAAAAAAGAGUGCAUUACUUAUCUCUCCCACAGAUAAACAUUUUCAAUGAAUUAACUAGAAUUAGUGUUUCAAUGAAUUAACUAGAAGAAAAAAAUCUAAAAACAUACAAAAUAGUUGAAUGGAUACUCCAAAUUUAUUUUAUCUUUUUAUAUUUGAAAAUGUGUACGAUAAAAUUUCAAUUUAUGAAUAUGCAAUUGUAGCUAAGAGUAAUUAGAAGAUAAAAGGUAGUUGUAUUAAAAGAGGUGAAAAACCGUUUAAUUUAACUUGAUAUAUUGAAAAAAUAUCACCAUAAUGAACACAUUUUGACUAGGGGAUGAGUCAUAUUUACAAACUAAUGUAUAGUAGUUAUCACAUUUAAUAAAGAAAAAUUCACACGUUAAAGGCUAGUGUAGUAUGAGAAUGAGUUUGAAUAAGAUAAAAGAGAUAGAUAUUAGACACAUGCAUGCAAUUAUUUUUCAUUUAUAUAUACUUAAAAGUACAACUCUGUGGUCUCUCAUUUGAAUAUUAUUAUUAUAUAUAUAUAAUAUAUACAAUCAAUUAUGUAUAUAGAAAUAUAUUUGUUUCUUAAAUAUUUAAAUAAAAUGGUUGAGAAUGAAGAACAUAGUUAAUGAUUUUAUGAGAAGUAAAUGGAGUGAGAUAGGGAGGAUAUUGGGGCAGAGAUAUGGGUGAUGUGGAAGAGACUCCCACUUGAUGAAGAGUCAGAGAUGGCCCACGUAGGAUUUAUGGGCUGGCAGGGGUGACGUGGAUAGCGUAUGGGACCAGGAGGAUGGCACACAUGUCGGCCAAGCCAUAGCCCACAAGGACCGCCCAGGGCCCCACUGCCCCACUCCGCACGUGAACACACCAUGCUCCAGGACCUACCUUCUUACUAUCAUAUAUAUUUGUUUCUCCUUAAUUUUUUUUCUUCUUUUUUGUACCCUCACUUAUACAAUCCAUUUUUAAAACUCUACCAACACUCUUUAUCUCUAGAUUUCGAUUCACUCUUUAUGUUUUUUAAAUUGUCCUCCAUUUCUACAAAUUAUUUAGUUUUGACCUUCUUUGUUUAGAUAUUCUAAUUUAGUCAAGCGAUGUCAAGCAUGGAAUUAGCAUUAUAGAAAGGGGAAAAAAGGGUGUGAGUGGAGUUUGAAAAGAAAGAAGAAAUUGGUCCAAAUAAUAAUAAUUAGAAGAACAAAUUAUUUGAAGCUACAAAUAGCAAAUGUUACACAGUUGAAUCCACUACUCCUCUAAACAAAAAAAGUAUCUUUGGAAAGUUAAAAAAACGUUUACACACCCGUGAAAGAAAAAACCUUUACCAUACCCUACAAAGUUAAUUACUCCACGUGAUGCUAUUUUUCUUGGAAACUUAUCCAAACAAUUCACCUUUUCCUUACGAAUUUUCCAGAACAGACUUUGGGAGAACAACCUACAGAUUAUAUUAUUAUAAUAUAUUUAUUUAUUAUUAUUCCCAUUUUCCUAUUAUUUAUUUCCACGAUGCUUUCUAUUCAAUGUAGCCGGCCACGUAAAAGCUAUAUUCUAAGUCAAGAAUUCAAUUAUGAGACCAACGAAUCAUUUUAAUCAGUACUAUUAUACAUCAAUUUAAUACUUAAAGUUAUAUCGCACUCUUGAAUCUCAUUAAAAAAUUAGCAAAUAUAAUAUAUGAUGAUAAUCAUGGAUAUAUUGUUGAAACAUUAAUGUUUUUGGUGAAAUUGGUAAAUAAAUAAUAUUAAAUUGUUUGAAUCUGGGGAUUGACGAAUAGGAAUGGAGAAGAAGAUUCGGAAGGGCAAAUGGGUUAUAAUUGCAAGGAAACGAGGGUGAAAAAAAACAAACAAACAAGCAAGUUGUGAUAGCUUAAACGAACCUCUACGUUUAAGAGGUACGAGGCGUCCACAUGAACACCCAUGCUCCUGCAAAUCAACGGCUAAAAAUCUGCCCUUUCAUCAAACACUUUUUUUUCUUCUUUUUUUGGCCUUUUUUACAACAUUAAAGAUCAAACACAUAAUUUCACAUAAUUUACCCAUCGUUUAUUAAAAGUGCACAAUAAGAAUUAUAAUCUAUGGAGCACUGGAUUCAGCCAAGUUAUGGUCAAAACGUUGGUACAACGCCGUAUUGAGCGUCUGUCAGGAACACAGAUGAAGCAGCUGAGCCAUAGAUUUCAUCAACCUCUGAUAGCAUAUCGGUUCGUUUUGCGAACCGGCCUUUGAUUCUCGGCCGGGUUUCAGCAUAAGCUUUUCUUGAAGCGUAUCGGAUUGUCUUCUCGAAUUUCCGGUUCUUCCUUUUCUCUCUGUACCUCAACACUCUCGCUUCUCGAUCCAUUCCACACAAUUGUGUCGCUUGGUUUCCGGAUCCUGACAACGGUAGCCCUGAAUCCGCACCAGUACUCACGUUUUGACCCAUCGGGUAUGAUAUGUCCGACACCGAAUUCCCUUCUGGAACGACUCCAACUUCUAAGGAGGAAGAAGAAACCUGAAGAAUUAACAGAAACAAAACUCAAUUAGUUAACUUGACCAAGAAUUGUUGGGUUAAAUCGUUAAACUUUGAUAUGGGGUUGAGUUAAUUACACUGUGACUUAGGGAUUGCGGCUGAUAGCCGAAUGAAUUGAGCUUGGAUCUACAAAAAUCAAUGUCGUAGCAAUUUUCAGGGGAGUGGGUCUGGUUAAUAACCGGCGUAAGGAGUGGCUUCGUCUGAACAGGGACGACGCUGUCGUUAAUAGCGCUGUGGUUGUUGACUGGAUUUGGAUAUUCAAAGUCAAUAAAAGAAUCCAUUUCGUUGAAGAACAAAUGAUCACCGCUGGGAGGUUUGAUUUCAGGGCCGUCGACGAGCUUAGAGUUGAAAAACGAGUUGGAUAAAAGCCAGGAGGAAACCUCCACUUCCUCGUGGUGAUGGGCACCAUCACAAACAGGGGCAGUAGUUUCAUUAGGAACCAGAAAAUUGAAAACAGAGGAGGAUUUAACAACUGAUUCCGUCGAGUCGAAAAAAGGCUCGACAGGGACACGCUCGUGGCGACGGGCUAAUGGGUUAGCAGAGUGAAUAUCGGCAUCACAAGUGACACAGAGAGCGGCAGCAUCAGCCUUGCACAUGACCACAGCAGGAGCUUGUUCACAGACCUCGCACAUCCAGACACGCUCGUGGCGAGAGGCGAGCUUGUUGGCGCAAUGAAUUUUGGCGUCGCAGGGAAGGCAGAGAAAAGCCGAGUCCGGUCGACAAUAGACAGCAGCAGGGCCAGUCUUGCAGGAGUCGCAAGGUUUAGCGACGACGCCCCAUCCGCCGCCGAAACCCUUCACA
rnacentral:lncRNA from 1 species